UUGGUGAGGUAACGGCUCACCAAGGCGACGAUGCGUAGCCCACCUGAGAGGGUGAUCGGCCACACUGGGACUGAGACACGGCCCAGACUCCUACGGGAGGCAGCAGUAGGGAAUCUUCCGCAAUGGACGAAAGUCUGACGGAGCAACGCCGCGUGAACGAUGAAGGUUUUCGGAUCGUAAAGUUCUGUUGUCAAGGAAGAACAAGUACCGUGCGAAUAGAGCGGUACCUUGACGGUACCUGACGAGGAAGCCCCGGCUAACUACGUGCCAGCAGCCGCGGUAAUACGUAGGGGGCAAGCGUUGUCCGGAAUUAUUGGGCGUAAAGCGCGCGCAGGCGGUUCCUUAAGUCUGAUGUGAAAGCCCACGGCUCAACCGUGGAGGGUCAUUGGAAACUGGGGAACUUGAGUACAGAAGAGGAGAGUGGAAUUCCACGUGUAGCGGUGAAAUGCGUAGAUAUGUGGAGGAACACCAGUGGCGAAGGCGACUCUCUGGUCUGUAACUGACGCUUACGCGCGAAAGCGUGCGCAGCACACAGGAUUACAUACUCUGGUAUUCCACGCCAUACACCAUGAGUGCUACGUGUUAGGUGGCUUCCACCCCUUAGUGCUGACUUCACGCAUUAAACACUCCGCCUGCCGAAUACCGCCGCACCGCUGAAACUCACAGGAAUUGACUGGCGCUCGCACAAGCGGUGCAUCAUCUUCUUUAAUUCUCAACAACGCGAACAAUCUUACCAGGUCUUGACUUCUUCUGACAACCCUGGAUACGAUCGUUCCCCUUUCAUCACU
rnacentral:rRNA from 1 species